rnacentral:rRNA from 1 species
CCUACGGGUGGCAGCAGUAAGGAAUAUUGGUCAAUGGACGCAAGUCUGACCCAGCCAUGCCGCGUGGAGGAUGAAGGUCCUCUGGAUUGUAAACUUCUUUUCUUUGGGAAGAAACUCCCGAUUUCCAUCGGGAUUGACGGUACCAGAUGAAUAAGCACCGGCUAACUCCGUGCCAGCAGCCGCGGUAAUACGGAGGGUGCAAGCGUUAUCCGGUUUCACUGGGUUUAAGGGGGGCAGGGGUGGGCGGGGAGAAAUCUCCGGGCUGAACCCGGAAAAUGCCAUUGAUACUAUUUGUCUUGAAUACUCUGGAGGUGAGCGGAAUAUGUCAUGUAGCGGUGAAAUGCUUAGAUAUGACAUAGAACACCCAUUGCGAAGGCAGCUCACUACGGAAAUAUUGACGCUGAGGCACGAAAGCGUAGGGAUCAAACAGGAUUAGAUACCCCUGUAGUC